CCUACGGGCGGCAGCAGUGAGGAAUAUUGGUCAAUGGGCGCGAGCCUGAACCAGCCAAGUAGCGUGAAGGAUGACUGCCCUACGGGUUGUAAACUUCUUUUAUAAGGGAAUAAAGUGAGGCACGUGUGCCUUUCUGUGUGUACUUUAUGAAUAAGGAUCGGCUAACUCCGUGCCAGCAGCCGCGGUAAUACGGAGGAUCCGAGCGUUAUCCGGAUUUAUUGGGUUUAAAGGGAGCGUAGAUGGGUUGUUAAGUCAGUUGUGAAAGUUUGCGGCUCAACCGUAAAAGUGCAAUUGAAACUGGCAGUCUUGAGUACAGUAGAGGUAUGCGGAAUGCGUGGUGUAGCGGUGAAAUGCAUAGAUAUCACGAAGAACUCCGAUUGCGAAGGCAGCUUACUAACCCUCCACUGACAUUGAUGCUCGAAAGUGUGGGUAUCAAACAGGAUUAGAUACCCCUGUAGUC
rnacentral:rRNA from 1 species